UAUCACUUCUAUUCCUGGUGCUUGUGAUCACGUGGUGCCUGCUUGAGGACUCGUCUGGAGCCCGCAGGUGGCGACGUCGGUGGAGCGUCAGGAGGAUCCUUAAACCCAUUUGUAAAGAGAAGUGUAUAGUAAAAUGUGAGACGGCUUGUCCGAUAUGCACUCCAGUUUGUGGAAAAUCCUGCAAAAUAUUGUGUGGCAGAAAGAGAAGUCUAAGUUCCGAUACCCCCCGCUCUUCCUUGUGACUUUACCGCUUGGGACAAAAAUAGCGAUGGUCAUGUAGACUUCGAGGAAUUUUCUACUCUUGCUACUCAAGUAGCUGCUGCAAAAGAACUGACCCUGGCUUUCCAAGCUACAGAUACAGAUAGUAACCAGCAAAUUUCGAAGGCUGAACUCCAUAAGGCAACCUUUCUGUUCAACAAAUGUUCAUAAUGUGGAGAAGAAAUGUUAAUU